rnacentral:rRNA from 1 species
GAUGAACGCUGACAGAAUGCUUAACACAUGCAAGUCUUUGGCGAAGCUGUGCUUGCACCGCCUAGCCAAGGCGGACGGGUGAGUAACGCGUAAGGAACUUGCCCUGCAGUCAGGGAUAACAGACGGAAACGACUGAUAAGACCUGGUAAAGUCAGGCGGACUCAUGUCCAGCCUGAUGAAAAGAGAUGCUGCAGGAGAGCCUUGCGUCCUAUUAGCUUGUUGGUGGGGUAACGGCCCACCAAGGCGAUGAUAGGUAGCCGGCCUGAGAGGGUGGACGGCCACAAGGGGACUGAGAUACGGCCCUUACUCCUACGGGAGGCAGCAGUGGGGAAUAUUGGACAAUGGGGGCAACCCUGAUCCAGCAAUUCUGUGUGCACGAUGAAGGUUUUCGGAUUGUAAAGUGCUUUCAGCAGGGAAGAAAAAAUGACGGUACCUGCAGAAGAAGCGACGGCUAAAUACGUG